GUGAGGAAUUUUCCGCAAUGGGCGAAAGCCUGACGGAGCAAUGCCGCGUGAAGGAAGAAGGCCUAUGGGUUGUAAACUUCUUUUCUUAGAGAAGAAUAUUGACGGUAUCUGAGGAAUAAGCAUCGGCUAACUCUGUGCCAGCAGCCGCGGUAAGACAGAGGAUGCAAGCGUUAUCCGGAAUGAUUGGGCGUAACGCGUCUGUAGGUGGCUUCAAAAGUCUCCUGUCAAAGCUCAGGGCUUAACCCUGGGCCGGCAGGAGAAACUCUGAGGCUAGAGUUUGGUAGGGGCAGAGGGAAUUCCCGGUGGAGCGGUGAAAUGCGUAGAGAUCGGGAGGAACACCAAAGGCGAAAGCACUCUGCUGGGCCACAACUGACACUGAGAGACGAAAGCGAGGGGAGCAAAAGGGAUUAGAUACCCCUGUAGUCC
rnacentral:rRNA from 1 species